rnacentral:tRNA from 1 species
GGGCCGGUAGUUCAGCCUGGUUAGGAGCAUAGACUCUCCGGAUAGAACGUCCGCCUUACACGCGGGGGCCGUAGGGUCGGGAGUUCAAAUCUCCCCCGGCCCACCA